rnacentral:ncRNA from 1 species
CGCAGGCAAGCGCAAGGCUUGUAGAGGUCGCUGGUAACAGCGACAGCCCGCACGGGUGGGAUCCUCGAACUUGGGGCCUGCACUACU